CUUGGUUUACAUUGAUAUGUUGCCAAUAUUGUUAGUGUUUGAAUUCAUACUUAAAACUCAUUAAAGAUCUGCAGGGCACACUAUGACGGGGGACCACCGCACGUGGAGUCUUAUGCGGUUGCUAACAAAAACACAUUAGGGCAUGUACAAUCUAAUAAUAUGUUGUGGUUCUUCGAGUAGUAGAUAUAUCUAAAAAACUUCUUCAUACAAUCCAACAUAUCUAAGUCUUAUAUCUUAUUCACUAGAAUCCCUCAAGAUAUAACUUAUUUAUAUAGGUUGUUGUAUGAGUGAAACCACAUCUAAACUUAGAGAACCGUGGUAGAGACAAUUCUUCACCAAGAUACUCACCCUCAACAAACUAGGGCUCAAGACCGUCCAGGAGUGGACGCUGUGGUACGACCAUCUGCAGGUUGGUGGAUGGACGGUCGUCUACGAGGGCCUGACGUUCGUCACCAUCCGCGGAGCCGGGCACGAGGUGCCUCUGCACGCGCCGCGGCAGGCGCUGACGCUCUUCAGCAACUUCCUGACAGGCACCAAGACGCCCACAACGGCGUUCCCCUAGUUUCAAAAGAAUUAAAAAAAAGGUGCCUCCUCUUGCCCGGCAAAGCCGGCUGAUAUGUUUCUUUUCCCCCUUCUCGCUUCUACCAAAGUUGCAAGUGUAAUUCGAUUGGAAAAAAGUUCAGAAAUAAAAGUCAUAGUGCUGACCUCAAUGCUCA